rnacentral:tRNA from 1 species
GGUUAUGGAUCAGCGGUAGAGCGAUCGCCUCGCACAUGCAAGAUUCUGGGUUCGAUCCUCAGCACCA